GAUUCUAAUAUUUUAAUUUAAUAUAUUAUAUUGAUUAAAAGAACAAAGUACCUGACAUCAUCAUCUUAUAUUAUUACACAAGGUAAUAAGCAGGCAUAAAUUACAACUUUUAUAUUCAUACAAAUAGUAAGUACAUACAUCAUUCUUUAUUUAAGAAAUAGUAGUGAUAGAUAAAAAUUAAGCACCAUUUUUUAAGAACCAUGACAAUUACUGUACGUAUACACAAAUGCCAAAACUAGGACCAAAGCCAUGACUAUAAUCACAAACCCUUCCACAAGGGGACUGCUCGCAAUUCCAAUCCAAUACACAAAAAUCAAUGCAAUAAUCUUGAAGCAGUUUUCUUCCCAAUGACGUUAUUAGUCCAUUAUUAAAAUCAUUCCCAGAAGAUGAUGAUGCCGCUGCUGCUACAAUAAUUUACAACCACCGUCAAGUUAUUAUUAGUCCCCAGU
rnacentral:lncRNA from 1 species